CUACGGGCCGCUCCAGUGAGGAAUUUUGCGCAAUGGGGGAAACCCUGACGCAGCAACGCCGCGUGAGUGAUGAAGACCUUCGGGUCGUAAAGCUCUGUCAAGUGGGAAAAAAUACUUGCAGUUAAUAGCUGUAAGGACUGAUGGUACCACUGGAGGAAGCACCGGCUAACUCCGUGCCAGCAGCCGCGGUAAUACGGAGGGUGCAAGCGUUGUUCGGAAUCAUUGGGCGUAAAGGGCGUGCAGGCUGCUUGGAAAGUCAGAUGUGAAAGCCCUGGGCUCAACCCAGGAAGUGCAUUUGAAACUGCCAAGCUAGAGUAUGGGAGAGGAGAGUGGAAUUCCCAGUGUAGAGGUGAAAUUCGUAGAUAUUGGGAGGAACAUCAGUGGCGAAGGCGACUCUCUGGACCAAUACUGACGCUGAGACGCGAAAGCGUGGGGAGCAAACAGGAUUAGAUACCCUCGUAGUC
rnacentral:rRNA from 1 species